CAAAUUCUAUUUCGUGCCUGGGCACUGUGUGGUCUUAGGCGGUGCUCCCCACUCACGAGCGUCCGAUCACGAUCGAUCGGCUGCCCACUGGAAACAAUCGCGCAAACGUCCAGAAAAAAAAGCGUCGACCUCAGGUCGUCCUCAUCCCCUCUUCUCUCUCCAUUCACAUUCGCUUCCUCUCACGCCACCGUGUCGAUCUCCCGGCUAAAUCUGCCUUAUCGGCGGCGAGCGGGCCGCCAGCAAGCCGCGGGGGUCGUUCUUGUGGUGGGUGGGCGCGGACAGUGGUAGAUCGAGGCGGGGGUCUGGGGGUGCCACCGUGCCGCCGGCGGCUCGCCGCGGCCGCGUCCACGAGAUCGGAGCGGUAUGGGCCUAGCGUCACCAACAUCAGCGAGCUCCCACUCACCGGAGCGCUCAUCGCGCUGGCAGUGCUGUCCUACUCCUGCGUCGGAGCUGUGGAGAGAAGAUCGACGGCGCUCCAAGAUGGUGUGCUCGUCUACGGAUUUUGUGACCUGUUCACUUUAAAGGAAUCUCCCUGGUUACAACCUAACAAUGGUGUUGACUGCAACAAGUAUCCUGGUGAAGCUCACUGUACGCAGCAGGUUUAGAUGAUCUUUGCUUUAAAUGUACAUUGUAGUUGUAUAUGAACAUGCCUACUUUUCUGCAUCUUUCUUUAGCUGGAGGUGAUGCUAGUACAUCUGUACAUGGACUUGUAUGUUCUUUUUCAUGCUUGGUUUUAUGUCACUACUUUAUGCAAGGUAAGAUUAGUUACAUGCAGAUGUUGUCACAUGGUUAUAUUAACCAUGAAAUUGGUCGUAAUAUCCAUCCUUUUAUGCC